AUUUUUAAUGUUUUUAAUUUCUUUGUCUAGAACAUGUUUCUUUCUGUUGCAGUCCUUCUGCCUGGAACAUUGAUGAAGCACUGACUUGUUGGCUAUAAGUUACUUCAGUUUGUGUGCAUAUUGCCCUCUACAGUGUGAAUGAGGCUUAUUCAAUAAAUUGAAGAUCUCAAUAGAACAAAAGAACCAGCCCCCGCUGUGCAAGAGAGAAUUUUCCUGAGUAUUGCCUUCAGACAUCAUCUGGAACAUCAACUCUUCCUGGUUCCACAGAAGAGCGCUUUGGACUCCAACUGAAACACUGGCUCUCUUGGGUCACUAACCUCCAGGCUCAUCCUGUAAAUUUUGGAUUUACAAGCCUCCAUAAUUCUGUAAAUGCAAUUCUUUAUAAGUUGUCUCACUCCCUCUUUGUCUCUCUCUCUCUCUCUCUCUAUCUAUCUAUGUAUAUAUACGCACACACUCAUCCUACUGGCUCUGUUUCUCUGGAGAACCCUGACUCACGCAAAUUUUGUUACUGACAAUGGUUCUAGAGAAUCAGAAUUUUAAACAUGAAUUUUCUGAAUUCAUUCUGGAGUUUCUGGAAUUGAUUAUAUAAGAUGAUUAAGCAUUAAUCUCAUUUAUAGACCUUGAUGACGCUAUUUCCAGUAGUAAAGAGAUCACUAACAGUCUGUGGUGUGACCUGAUGAUAGAGAUAUGCAAAAUAUUACCAUUGGAUACUCCUAAUAAAAUGCUUAUAAUAAGCAAAUAUUUUGAUGACCGUGUAUAUGAUACUUUCAAACAUUUUUAUAAAACUAACAAGUAUAACAAUAUUGGCUUCUUGCUCCUAACAUCAUUGGUUGUGGUUAUUCUCCCAGUUCCAGACUGCGUAGUUGGAAUAGAUAUACUUAGCAGUUGGCAGAAUCCCCACGUUGGUUCCCUGACCUGUGGAGUGGGGCCUAUUAUAAGUCUAAACGGAAGCCAUUAGAACUUACUUUAUGUAGGAAAAUGGUAAAUCAAAAGCAAUACCACAUUCCUGGAGAGGUUACACAGUGCCACCUACAAGGAUUUAAAAGAUGCAGAGCUGAUCGUUCUCACCACAUUAACAUUCAACUCUUCUAUUUGCCAUGUGCGAAGAUGGAUGUUGAAGAAUGACAGUGGAUUAUUGUAAACUUAAUAAAGUGCUGAUUUCAAUCGAA